rnacentral:rRNA from 1 species
GACGAACGCUGGCGGCGCGCUUAACACAUGCAAGUCGAGCGAAGCGGCGGCCGGGUGAGUAACACGUGAGUAACCUGCCUUAGACAUUGGGAUAGCCUCGGGACACCGGGAUUAAUACCAAAUGGUCUAAGAUGGACUCGCGUCCCAUUAGCUAGUUGGUGGGUAACGGCCCACCAAGGCGACGCUGGGGAGCCGGCCUGAGAGGGGGAACGGCCACAGUGGAACGUAGAAACGUGCCAAACUCUACGGGAUGCAGCAGUGGGGAAUAUUGCACAAUGGAGGGAACUCUAAUGCAGCGACGCCGCGUGAACGAAGAAUGCUUUAGAGUCGUAAAGUGCUUUUAUAUGGGAAGCGGUACCAUAAGAAAAAGCCCCGGCUAACUACGUGCCAGCAGCCGCGGUAAUUC